rnacentral:rRNA from 1 species
CCUACGGGAGGCAGCAGUGGGGAAUAUUGGGCAAUGGGCGCAAGCCUGACCCAGCGACGCCGCGUGGGUGAUGAAGGCCUUCGGGUCGUAAAGCCCUGUCGGGUGGAAAGAAUGGGAGUUUGGCGAAUAGCCAAACUUCGUGACGGUACCACCGAAGGAAGCACCGGCCAAUUCCGUGCCAGCAGCCGCGGUAAU